rnacentral:pre_miRNA from 1 species
GUUACCCAGGGAUCUUGUUAAAAUGCAUAUCCUGAUUCAGUAGGUCUGGGAUGGGACCUGUGACUCUGCAUUUCUAACAAGUUCUCAGGUGAUGCCAA